rnacentral:rRNA from 1 species
GCCAGGUGCCCUCUGCUGGUGUCUACAGUCAUAUUACCGUCAUCCUAGAAACUAAGCAGGGUUGGGUCUGGCCAGUACUUGGAUGGGAGAUUGCCUGGGAAUACCGGGUGAUCUUGGCU